GGCCAGACUCCUACGGGAGGCAGCAGUGGGGAAUAUUGCACAAUGGGGGAAACCCUGAUGCAGCGACGCCGCGUGAAGGAAGAAGUAUUUCGGUAUGUAAACUUCUAUCAGCAGGGAAGAAAAUGACGGUACCUGACUAAGAAGCACCGGCUAACUACGUGCCAGCAGCCGCGGUAAUACGUAGGGGGCAAGCGUUAUCCGGAUUUACUGGGUGUAAAGGGAGCGUAGACGGCAGUGCAAGUCCGGAGUGAAAGCCCGGGGCUCAACCCUGGGACUGCUCUGGAAACUGUAAAGCUAGAGUGCGGGAGGGGCAGGCGGAAUUCCUGGUGUAGCGGUGAAAUGCGUAGAUAUCAGGAGGAACACCGGCGGCGAAGGCGGCCUGCUGGACCGUAACUGACGUUGAGGCUCGAAAGCGUGGGGAGCAAACAGGAUUAGAUACCCGCGUA
rnacentral:rRNA from 1 species